GACGAACGCUGGCGGCGUGCCUAAUACAUGCAAGUCGAACGCAGUGGGGACGGGUGAGUAACACGUGGGUAACCUCCCAUCAGAGGGGAUAACACUUGGAAACAGGUGCUAAACCGAUACUGAUGGAUGGACCCGCGGUGCAUUAGCUAGUUGGUGAGGUAACGGCUCACCAAGGCCACGAUGCAUAGGCCGCCUGAGAGGGGGUAUGGCCACCAUGGGACGGAGACAGGCCCCAGAUCCUACGGGAGGCAGCAGAGGGAAAUUUUCGGAAAUGGACAAAGGUCGGACGGGGAACGGCGCCGUGGUUAAAGAGGUUUUUGGGUUGGUAAACUUUUGUUGUAGAGAAGCGGUAUCUAACCAGAAAGCCACGGCUAACUACGUGCCAGCAGCCGCGGUAAUUC
rnacentral:rRNA from 1 species